CCACUUCUAUCUGUUGUGGACAAAUAAAAUGGAUGUGGGAAUCCACACCCCCAGCCGUGAGAAUCAUCCCUUCCCCAGCUAAAGCUUCGGUUCCCGGGCCGAUAAUAAUAUCGACGUUAUUUUGAAUAUAAGGAUUGCCGGCUUUACCGAUUUUAAAUAUUUUGCCGUCUUUAAUCCCAAUAUCGGCUUUAACUACACCCCACCAAUCGAGAAUUAAAGCAUUUGUAAUUACUAAAUCUACAGCACCAUCGGCGUUAGAAAUGGGCGAUUGUCCCAUCCCAUCGCGG
rnacentral:sRNA from 1 species